rnacentral:rRNA from 1 species
GCUUUCCCUCCAGAGUGGAUCCUGAGUACGGCGGAACACGUGAAAUUCCGUCGGAAUCCGGGAGGACCAUCUCCCAAGGCUAAAUACUCCCUAGUGACCGAUAGUGAACCAGUACCGUGAGGGAAAGGUGAAAAGCACCCCGGAAGGGGAGUGAAACAGUUCCUGAAACCGUGUGCCUACAAGUAGUUAGAGCCCGUUAAUGGGUGAUAGCGUGCCUUUUGUAGAAUGAACCGGCGAGUUACGAUUUGUUGCAAGGUUAAGCGGAAAAAGCGGAGCCGUAGCGAAAGCGAGUCUGAAUAGGGCGCAUAAGUAACAGGUCGUAGACCCGAAACCAGGUGAUCUACCCAUGUCCAGGAUGAAGGUAAGGUAAUACUUACUGGAGGUCCGAACCCACGCACGUUGAAAAGUGCGGGGAUGAGGUGUGGGUAGCGGAGAAAUUCCAAUCGAACUUGGAGAUAGCUGGUUCUCUCCGAAAUAGCUUUAGGGCUAGCCUCGAGGUAAAGAGUCAUGGAGGUAGAGCACUGUUUGGACUAGGGGCCCUUCUCGGGUUACCGAAUUCAGAUAAACUCCGAAUGCCAUGUACUUAUAUUCGGGAGUCAGACUGCGAGUGAUAAGAUCCGUAGUCGAAAGGGAAACAGCCCAGACCACCAGUUAAGGUCCCCAAAUAUAUGUUAAGUGGAAAAGGAUGUGGGGUUGCUUAGACAACCAGGAUGUUGGCUUAGAAGCAGCCACCAUUGAAAGAGUGCGUAAUAGCUCACUGGUCGAGUGACCCCGCGCCGAAAAUGUACCGGGGCUAAACAUAUUACCGAAACUGUGGAUGAACCUCUUUAGAGGUUCGUGGUAGGAGAGCGUUCUAAAGGCGGUGAAGUCAGACCGGAAGGACUGGUGGAGCGCUUAGAAGUGAGAAUGCCGGUAUGAGUAGCGAAAGAAGGGUGAGAAUCCCUUCCACCGAAUAUCUAAGGUUUCCUGAGGAAGGCUCGUCCGCUCAGGGUUAGUCGGGACCUAAGCCGAGGCCGAUAGGCGUAGGCGAUGGACAACAGGUAGAGAUUCCUGUACCAGUGCUAAUUGUUUAACCGAUGGGGUGACACAGAAGGAUAGGGAAUCGCACGAAUGGAAAUGUGCGUCCAAGCAGUGAGUGUGAGAAGUAGGCAAAUCCGCUUCUCGCAAAGCAUGAGCUGUGAUGGGGAAGGAAAUUAAGUACGGAAGUUCCUGAUUUCACGCUGUCAAGAAAAGCCUCUAGGAAGAGUAGUACUGCCCGUACCGCAAACCGACACAGGUAGAUGAGGAGAGAAUCCUAAGGUGAGCGAGAGAACUCUCGUUAAGGAACUCGGCAAAAUGACCCCGUAACUUCGGGAGAAGGGGUGCUCUAUUAGGGUGCAAGCCCGAGAGAGCCGCAGUGAAUAGGCCCAGGCGACUGUUUAGCAAAAACACAGGUCUCUGCAAAACCGUAAGGUGACGUAUAGGGGCUGACGCCUGCCCGGUGCUGGAAGGUUAAGAGGAGUGCUUAGCUUCGGCGAAGGUACGAAUUGAAGCCCCAGUAAACGGCGGCCGUAACUAUAACGGUCCUAAGGUAGCGAAAUUCCUUGUCGGGUAAGUUCCGACCCGCACGAAAGGCGCAACGAUCUGGGCACUGUCUCAACGAGAGACUCGGUGAAAUUAUAGUACCUGUGAAGAUGCAGGUUACCCGCGACAGGACGGAAAGACCCCGUGGAGCUUUACUGCAACCUGAUAUGGAAUGUUUGUACCGCUUGUACAGGAUAGGUAGGAGCCGAAGAGACGUGUGCGCUAGCAUACGAGGAGGCAAUGGUGGGAUACUACCCUGGCUGUAUGACCAUUCUAACCCGCCACGCUUAGCGCGUGGGGAGACAGUGUCAGGUGGGCAGUUUGACUGGGGCGGUCGCCUCCUAAAGAGUAACGGAGGCGCCCAAAGGUUCCCUCAGAAUGGAUGGAAAUCAUUCGCAGAGUGUAAAGGCACAAGGGAGCUUGANGGAGGCGCCCAAAGGUUCCCUCAGAAUGGAUGGAAAUCAUUCGCAGAGUGUAAAGGCACAAGGGAGCUUGACUGCGAGACUGACAAGUCGAGCAGGGACGAAAGUCGGGCUUAGUGAUCCGGUGGUUCCGCAUGGAAGGGCCAUCGCUCAACGGAUAAAAGCUACCCCGGGGAUAACAGGCUUAUCUCCCCCAAGAGUCCACAUCGACGGGGAGGUUUGGCACCUCGAUGUCGGCUCGUCGCAUCCUGGGGCUGUAGUCGGUCCCAAGGGUUGGGCUGUUCGCCCAUUAAAGCGGCACGCGAGCUGGGUUCAGAACGUCGUGAGACAGUUCGGUCCCUAUCCGUCGCGGGCGCAGGAAAUUUGAGAGGAGCUGUCCUUAGUACGAGAGGACCGGGAUGGACACACCGCUGGUGUACCAGUUGUUCCGCCAGGAGCAUCGCUGGGUAGCUAUGUGUGGCAGGGAUAAACGCUGAAAGCAUCUAAGCGUGAAGCCCCCCUCAAGAUGAGAUUUCCCAUUUCUUCGGAAAGUAAGAUCCCUGAAAGAUGAUCAGGUAGAUAGGUUUGGAGUGGAAGUGUAGCGAUACAUGGAGCGGACAAAUACUAAUCGAUCGAGGACUUAACCAAAA